rfam:Schistosoma mansoni strain Puerto Rico chromosome 1, complete genome
AGCUCUUGGGAUCUGUGCCGAGAUUUCGUCAGACACCAGACCAUAAAUACUGAUGAGACUCAAGAUCAGUUAGGCG